rnacentral:lncRNA from 1 species
GCGAGUCACAGGCGCGGGUGUUCGGCUACGUCACUGGGGCGCUACGGUGCCUGGAGCUGGGCAGUCUUCUCGUCAGAGUGGGGACUGGUAAGAGCGACCUCACCGCCAGGUCCUGUGUGUUGCCGGCUGAAGAAGGGUAGCUGAAAAAUUCAGACCCAGCACAGUGUUUAUGUUGGUCAAAAAUAGAAAACUAUGUCUGCCGCGGCCGAGGCAGGAGGACCCUUCAGGCCAAGAGCAGCCUAGCAACAUGGCGCAACCCCAUCUCUGUAGUCCUACCUCAGCCCCCCAGCUACUUGAACCCAAAGGUUCAAGGCUCCAGUGAGCUAUGAUCCCACCACAGCAUUCCAGCCUGCGAGAUUGAGAUGAUGAUUAUUCCCCACCUUCUAAGAGACAAAGACCAACGAUCCACCACAGCCACCAGUCCCAGAACCCGCCAAUGCUGGGGAAUGGAAAAUGAGGGAGUUCAACUCUGGCCCUCACAAUCCAGUGGAGGAGACGAAACUCAUCUGCCUCUGUCCCUCUGGGCACGCCUCAUGCCAGGUGCAUCUGUGGACAGGGGCCAUGCUCCUGGGCUUCCAAAGUUGGAGAAAGCUGCCAGGCUCAGGUCUGAAGGCCAGAAUUCUACAGUAAGUCCUACUGAGUCAAGGUGGGAGCAGGGUCGGUGGCUUCCGAGGCUCUGCGGGAGAAUCCGUUUCCUGGCCGUAGAGGUGGCCUGCACUCCUCAGCUUGUGCUGCCCGUCUCGAAUGACUGGAGUUUCCUGCUUCUGUCACUACACCUCCCACCCUCUCCAUCACCUGCUCUGCUCUUAUAAGGAUCCGAGUGGAGUCUUGCUCUGUCAUCCAGGCUGGCAGUGGCGUGAUCUUGGUUCACUGCAAUGUCUGCCUCCUGGGUUCAGGUGAUUCUCCUGCCUCAGCCUCCUGAGUAGCUGGGACUACAGGCGCCCGCCACCAUGCCCUGCUGUUUUGUAUUUUUGAGAAAUGGAAUCAUCGUAUCGCUGAUCUGCGUAAACAAAUUGAAGAAUUGUCUGAAAGAAAAUAUGACAUGAACUUAUGAAUUCAACAGGUAAAGAUUUACAACUUGAUAAAUCAACUUUGUGAGCUCGAGCUGUAAAAGCCAAAGGUCCAGUGAUGAUCCCAUACCCUUUUGUCCAGUCUCAUGUUGAAGAUUUUUAUGUAGAAGGCCUUCCCAAAGGAAUUUUUUUUUUUUUUUUGAGAUGGAGUUUUCACUCUUAUCGCCCAGGCUGGGGUGCAAUGGCGCAACCUUGCUGGUCACUGCAACCUCUGCCUCCUGGGUUCAAGAAAUUCUCUUGCCUUAGCCUCCCAAGUUGCUGGGAUUACAGGUGCCCACCACCACACCAGGCUAAUUUUUGUAUUUUUAGUGGAGAUGGGGUUUCACCAUGUUGGCCGGGCCAGUCUCGAACUCCUGACGUCAAGUGAUCUUCCCGCCUCGACUCCUGACAUCAAGUGAUCUUCCCACCUCGGCCUCCAAGAGUGCUGAGAUUACAGAUGUGAACCCAUGCCUGGCCAGGAAUUUUGUUUUUUAGGAAGGCUUUCUACUAAUGGAAUUCCUGGCCUUGAGAGGAUGUUACUUUCGAAGGAAAGGAUUUUUUUGUUAUUAAAAGAGCCACCUAAGCUGAAGAUUCCCUUGAGAACAAGUACUGUCCUGCGGUUUCAUGGCCUUUCUUCCAUUUGUGGUUCUUGUGAAGUGGAAUUUAAAUGACAUCAAGAUGGAUAAACCCUAGUUUCCCAGUGCUGGAAUAUAGAAAAUGGAUGGACAAGUAAAUCCCACUCAGCACCCAUAGUCCAGGCAUGGGGAUCUCAACACACCUGAGCCCCAGACAUCACCUUUCAUUCUGGACCUACCAUGAAAGACUUCUGAAUCCAGGAAGAGAAACUGACUGGGCAACAUGUUAUUCAGAUGGAGUUUCACUCUUGUUGCCCAGGCUGGAGUGCAAUGGCGCUAUCUCGGCUCAGCACAACCUCCACCUGCCGGGUUCAAGCGAUUCUCCUGCCUCAGCCUCCCGAGUAGUCUCACACUGUCACCCAGGCUGGAGUACAGUGGCACAACCUCUGCUCACUGCAGCCUCCACCUGCCAGGCUCAAGCAAUUCUCCUGCCUCAGCCUCCCGAGUAGCUGGGAUUACAAGAAGUGACCUCACAAUGACUCAAGCUACCACAUGCUGUUGAUUGUGAAAUGCCAGUUGAAGCAUAUGUCCUGCGAGCUUAGGGGUGCUACAAGUUGACCACUGCAGCAGUAAAGAUGACUCUGAAGAAUGGCGUGGGAUGGAUCCUUUCGAAUGCACUUGAGCAGCGGUCUCCAACCACAGGGCCACAGAGCUGGAGCUGGAUCUACCAUGAAAGACUUCUGAAUCCAGGAAGAGAGACUGACUGGGCAACAUGUUAUUCAGGUACAAAAAGAUUUGGACUAUAACUUAAAAAUGAUCAAAUAAUAGUGCAUGCAUCAAGUGCAAUGGGAAGCUCUUCUGGAGAGUGAGAUAAGCUUCCAGUUAAGGAGAUGGGGUCUCACCCUGUCACCCAGGCUUGAGUACAAUAGUGCUAUCACAGCUCACUGCAGCCUUGAACUCCUGGGCUAAGGAUCCUCCUACCUGAGCCUCCUGAAUAGCUAGGACUGGUCUCCCUCUGUUGUCCAAGGCUGGAGUGUAGUAGUGCUAUCGCAGCUGACUGCAGCCUCAACCUUCCAGGCUGAAGCGAUCCUCCCAUCUCAACCUCCCACGUGGCUGAGACUACAGGUGCUUGCCACUAUGCCCAACUAAUAUUUGGAAUUUUCGUAUACGUGGAUUCCAGAGGGGUGACAGCAAAACGUGGGACCAUCCAGUUGCAGGAAAACAAGCUUAACAUGCCCACUGAUUCUACAUUAUGGUGAGUUCUAUAAUUAUUUUAUUAUAUAUUACAGUGUAAUAAUGGAAAUAAAGUGCCUAAUAAAUGUAAACGUGCUUAAAUCUUUUGGCCCAGCUCCUACCUCCCGGCAGCAUCUCCAGGCCCAGAACUUUCUCCAGUCAGCCUCUACAGACCAAGCUCAUGACUCACAAUGGCCUAUUUAGGCCCAUACCCUACCUCACGGCAGUCUCCGCAGAUGAGCCUACUGCCUCACAACAGCCUCCACAGGCACAGCUCCGUCGUUACAAUGGCCUCUUUAGACCCAGCUCCUGCCUCCCAGCCUUCUCUCCAGGCCCUGAACUUUCUCAAGUCGACCUCACCAGGCCCAGCUCAUGCUUCUUUGCAGCCUCUCCAGGCCCAGCUCCUGCAUCUUGGUGACCCCUCCAGGCACAGCCUCUGCCUCCCGUCGGCCUCUACAGUCCCAACAUCUGCCUCACAGCAGAUUCUUCAGGCCCAGCAUCUGCCUCACUGUGGACCCCCCAAGCCAAGCUCCCAACCUUUCAGCAGCUUCUACACACCCAGCUCCUGCCACCCAGUGGCCUCUUUAGGCCAAGCUCAUGCUUCACAAGGGUCUUUCCAGGCCCAAUUUUUGUCUCAUGGCAACCUUCCCUGGCCAGAUUCCUGCCUGUCUCCCAGCAGCCUAGACAGGCCCAGGUCUUGCCUCACACUGGCCUCUCUACAUCCAGCUCAUGCCUCACGGUGGCCUCUCCAGGCUCAACUCCUGUCCCAGGACGUCAUCUCCGGGCCCAAAACUUAAAGUCAGACUCUCUAGUCCCAACUGCUGCCUCCUGGUGGAUUAUGAAGGCCCAAAAUCUCCUCAAGUUGACCUCUACAGGCCCAGCUCCUGCCUCCUGUCAGCGUCUACAGGCCCAACCUCUGCCUUAUGGGGGCUUCUCCAGGCCCACCUCUUCCUCUUGGCUGGGUCUACAGGCACAACUGCUGCCUCACAACAGCCUUUUUUGGCCCAGUUCCUGCCCAGCUCCCAGCGGCCCUGGUAGACCCACAACUUCCCGAAGCCAAGCUCCCCAGGCCC